rnacentral:rRNA from 1 species
AUGGCCGGGAGGGACAGAGACCCGCUGGUGGUUGGCAGGGUUGUGGGGGACGUGCUGGACCCCUUCAUCCGGACCACCAACCUCAGGGUGACCUUCGGGAACAGGACCGUGUCCAACGGCUGCGAGCUCAAGCCGUCCAUGGUCGCCCAGCAGCCCAGGGUUGAGGUGGGCGGCAAUGAGAUGAGGACCUUCUACACACUCGUGAUGGUAGACCCAGAUGCUCCAAGUCCAAGCGAUCCCAACCUUAGGGAGUAUCUCCACUGGCUUGUGACAGAUAUCCCCGGUACAACUGGUGCAUCCUUCGGGCAGGAGGUGAUGUGCUACGAGAGCCCUCGUCCGACCAUGGGGAUCCAUCGCUUCGUGCUCGUGCUCUUCCAGCAGCUCGGCCGGCAGACCGUGUACGCUCCCGGGUGGCGCCAGAACUUCAACACCAGGGACUUCGCCGAGCUCUACAACCUCGGCCCGCCUGUCGCCGCCGUCUACUUCAACUGCCAGCGUGAGGCCGGCUCCGGCGGCAGGAGGAUGUACAAUUGA